rnacentral:lncRNA from 1 species
CUUUCUUUUUCCUUUUUUUUUGCAGGAUCGACCUCGAUUCCUCUUUCGUUCACAAUAAGCUUCGGCUACUUACCGGACAACACUCCACAAGUGCACUGAUUCGGACUCAACCUCAGUCUGAGUUGUCUCAACCCGGUCAAACGACUUGCCCCGGAUUCACCAGAUGCCCUUUUUCUGCUUGGGACUUUGCUAUCACAACCCGGUCAAACGACUUGCCCCGGAUUCACCAGAUGCCCUUUUUCUGCUUGGGACUUUGCUAUCAUGUCAUCAACAUAGCAUUUGAUUCCACGAUGAAUCAUAUCAUGAAACAAAGUCACUCUGACACGUGGC